rnacentral:lncRNA from 1 species
GAAUUUUGGACUUUUUUCAUUUUUACAGUAUAUAAAGAGAAGAUGCCUUAGAAAAAAUUAUUGAAAACUAGUACUAUAAUAUGUGGAGUAAUAAGUUGAAAAGAUCAUAUAGAGGUUCUUUCAAUUUAUUAUAUAUUGCUAAGAAGCCUUGAUAGAAAAAAAGAGAAGAUUUUUUUUUUGAUGAUGCAAGAAAAGAAAUAUUUUUUAAGAAGCAAACCUUGAAGAAACAAGGCUUGUGAGACGACUUGACAAGAAUUUUCAACAAAAAAUAUUUCAACAAUAUUUUUAAAAAAUAAAGAUAAAUUAAUAAAUUAUUUUUUUAUAUUGAUGUAAUAA